UGGGGAAUUGUUCGCAAUGGGCGCAAGCCUGACGACGCAACGCCGCGUGGAGGAUGAAGAUCUUCGGGUCGUAAACUCCUGUCGAGCGGGACGAACACCUGCCUGGCUAAUAUCCGGGCAGGCUGACGGUACCGCUAAAGGAAGCCCCGGCUAACUCCGUGCCAGCAGCCGCGGUAAUACGGGGGGGGCAAGCGUUGUUCGGAAUUACUGGGCGUAAAGGGCUCGUAGGCGGCCAACUAAGUCGGAUGUGAAAUCCCCAGGCUCAACCUGGGAACUGCAUCCGAUACAGGAUGGCUUGAAUUCGGGAGAGGGAUGCAGAAUUCCAGGUGUAGCGGUGAAAUGCGUAGAUAUCUGGAGGAAUACCGGUGGCGAAGGCGGCAUCCUGGACCGACAUUGACGCUGAGGAGCGAAAGCUAGGGGAGCAAA
rnacentral:rRNA from 1 species